rnacentral:rRNA from 1 species
AGCGAACGCUGGCGGCAGGCCUAACACAUGCAAGUCGAACGAACCCUUCGGGGUUAGUGGCGGACGGGUGAGUAACACGUGGGAACGUGCCUUUAGGUUCGGAAUAACUCAGGGAAACUUGUGCUAAUACCGAAUGUGCCCUUCGGGGGAAAGAUUCAUCGCCUUUAGAGCGGCCCGCGUCUGAUUAGCUAGUUGGUGAGGUAAUGGCUCACCAAGGCUACGAUCAGUAGCUGGGCUGAGAGGAUGACCAGCCACAUUGGGACUGAGACACGGCCCAAACUCCUACGGGAGGCAGCAGUGGGGAAUCUUGCGCAAUGGGCGAAAGCCUGACGCAGCCAUGCCGCGUGGAUGAUGAAGGUCUUAGGAUCGUAAAAUCCUUUCACCGGUGAAGAUAAUGACUGUAGCCGGAGAAGAAGCCCCGGCUAACUUCGUGCCAGCAGCCGCCGUAAUAC